UAUAAUGUUUUGAUUCUUCGUCUUAUUUGAAAUUUUUUUGCGAUUAAUAUUUUUAUUCUUACUAAAUGAUAAAAUAUGUGACUAACUUUUUUAGGUUUUUUAUAAAUUUUUAAAUAAGACGAAUAGUCAAACGUUGGACACAGAAAAAC
rnacentral:pre_miRNA from 1 species